GACAGAGGGGGCAAGCGUUGCUCGGAAUUACUGGGCGUAAAGGGCGCGUAGGCGGGAUGGCAAGUCGGUCGUGAAAUCCCUCGGCUCAACUGAGGUACGUCGAUCGAUACUGCCGUUCUUGAGGGUUGCAGAGGAGACUGGAAUUCCCGGUGUAGCGGUGAAAUGUGUAGAGAUCGGGAGGAACACCGGUGGCGAAGGCGGGUCUCUGGGCAACUCCUGACGCUGAGGCGCGAAAGCGUGGGGAGCAAACAGG
rnacentral:rRNA from 1 species